rnacentral:rRNA from 1 species
UACGUAGGGGCCGAGCGUUGUCCGGAGUUAUUGGGCGUAAAGCGCGCGCAGGUGGUUUCUUAAGUCUGAUGUGAAAGCCCACGGCUCAACCGUGGAAGGUCAUUGGAAACUGGGGAACUUGAGUGCGGAAGAGGAAAGUGGAAUUCCAAGUGUAGCGGUGAAAUGCGUAGAUAUUUGGAGGAACACCAGUGGCGAAGGCUACUUUCUGGUCUGUAACUGACACUGAGGCGCGAAAGCGUGGGGAGCAAACAGG